CAGUAGCCGCGGGAAUACGUAGGUCCCGAGCGUUGUCCGGAUUUAUUGGGCGUAAAGGGAGCGCAGGCGGUUUAGUAAGUCUGAAGUUAAAGGCAUUGGCUCAACCAAUGUAUGCUUUGGAAACUGUUAGACUUGAGUGCAGAAGGGGAGAGUGGAAUUCCAUGUGUAGCGGUGAAAUGCGUAGAUAUUAGGAAGAACACCAGUGGCGAAGGCGACUUUCUGGACGAAAACUGACGCUGAGGCGCGAAAGCCAGGGGAGCGAACGGGAUUAGAUACCCCGGUAGUCCCUGUCUCUUAUACA
rnacentral:rRNA from 1 species